rnacentral:rRNA from 1 species
UACAGAGGGGGCAAGCGUUGUUCGGAAUUACUGGGCGUAAAGGGCGCGUAGGUGGCCUUCUAAGUUGAACGUGAAAUCCCUGGGCUCAACCCAGGAACUGCGUCCAAGACUGGGAGGCUUGAAUCCGGAAGAGGCGAGUGGAAUUCCUGGUGUAGCGGUGGAAUGCGCAGAUAUCAGGAGGAACACCAAUAGCGAAGGCAGCUCGCUGGGACGUUACUGACACUGAGGCGCGAAAGCGUGGGGAGCGAACAGG